rnacentral:lncRNA from 1 species
UUUUCUGCUCCAACUCUUCUAGCCUAAAAUUUUAGUGCAGGAUUAUAAAGAAUGAACUUAGAUUAUUUUUUUUCUUAAAUUAAUUUUUUUUAAAUAAAUAUGUAGACUAUCGUAAAUUAAUUUUAUGAACAUUUUAAUUUAAAAAUAUUUAAAUUCCGAUAAAUAUUGAAAAAUCACUAAAUUUUUCACAAAUCAAGCCUUUAACUUUCACCAAUCUGUCAACCCUGGGCUAACUUUUAAUUCACCAACCGUUCAACAUCAAAAUUUUCAAUUAAUAAACUACAUAAACUUAAUACAACCGAUAAUUCAUAAACCACAUAAUUAAUAAACUACAUAAACUUAAUUCAAACGACAAUUAAUAAACUUAUUUAAUAAAGCACAUAAUUCAUACACUACAUAAACUUAAUAAUCAUAUCCGCCAUCUUCACUUGGUGAUGGACUUCAUACAGGACUUGGGAUAUAGGGUUCAGAGGAUUCAUCAUCUUGAAACAUACUCCUUGAGGCAGACUUUCGCAAAAUUUCCUUUUGUUUACCACAUAAGAACUUCUUCCUCUCUGGAGUGUAUUUGCUGAGGUUUUCCAUCAUCAAAUUAAUUUCAAACCUAUCUUGCUCCCUAUCCGAGAUUUCCUUCAUUUGCAAACGCAUUUGGGCCGUUUCUUCUUGGUGAGCGCUAUGGGUUUCGUUCAAUUUUGCAAUUCCGGUAGCAAAGUGUCCACUCAUCGGAUCUUGGGACUUUCCUUUUCUCUUUGCUUCUUUUUGCUUAUCUCUUCCCGGCAAGGAGAUGGGGUCAUUU